UACGUAGGGAGCAAGCGUUGUUCGGAUUUACUGGGCGUAAAGGGCGCGUAGGCGGCGCGGUAAGUCACUUGUGAAAUCUCUGAGCUUAACUCAGAACGGCCAAGUGAUACUGCAGUGCUAGAGUGCAGAAGGGGCAAUCGGAAUUCUUGGUGUAGCGGUGAAAUGCGUAGAUAUCAAGAGGAACACCUGAGGUGAAGACGGGUGCUAGGCUGACACUGACGCUGAGCGCGAAGACCAGGGGAGCAAACGGG
rnacentral:rRNA from 1 species